ACCCUUCCUCAGCCGGGGAGGGGGUGUCAGAGGCGGGGCUGGGGGCACGGCAGGGGUCUGCUUGGAGCUAACGCACAGGCCCCUUCAUCCUGGGGAACAGCAGGCCACUAGCAUGUAGAAGGGCAGCCACCCCCAUGGGUUAGGUGAAUGCUCCUUUCCACAGAGAGGGCAGCCGCCCCGCGGCACCAGCGUACAAGCUGCAGCGAGCUGCUUUUUCUUUCACUCGAAAGUUAUAAAUCCCACCUCCUUAGCAGCUGCCCUUAGUGACGGAGGAUGCAGGGUCGCUCCACGCCCUCCAUCCUCCACUUACAGUCCUUUGGCCCUAGGACAGAUGGGCACAGCCUAUCAUCCUGUAGUCAGAAGCAAAGGUUGCUAAAGAUGGGCUACUGCAUUACUGUUGAUUACAGGCAUUUAGCCCCAUCUUCUGCACUGCCACUAGUCCCAGCUGGAGACGGGCACUGAAUGGAGCAGACUGUUGGGGUGAAGCUAUACAGCAGCUCCUUGGGGGGAGCUAGGCGCAGAGUCACAAACGGAGCGAGGCGCCUAACUCCUGUGGGUUUGGAUUGGAGCUGGGAAUCUGACUCCAUUUGUUCACCUGGCCCGUCGAGAGCAGCAUCUUUGGUCCGGUAGUUAGGGAUGUAUCAGGCCCCAUAGCACAAAGUUAGCCUCAGGCUGUUGGGUUUCAUUCCUGGGCUGUGGUACUGCACCCCGGGGCAUCAGUGAAGCAGUGCAGAGGAAGAACCCUCCACGGGGCCCAGGACCCUUCUGCAAGCUGUCUGCAAAUCCCAGCUUCUGCUCCUUGAGCACCUUCUAGCAGCAUCUCCCCCGGGGAAGAAGGGGCCCCACCCAGCAUGGUUCAGUUCUCCCCCUGCUGCAACACGGCUGCCUAAACAGGAGGGAGGAAGAGCCCCGUGGAAGGUCCUGUACAGCAUUUGGCCCAGAAUUCACAAAGGGAGACAGCGGGGGGCCGCUGGUUUGCCAAGAUGAACUCACCUGACGCCUAGAGGGUAUCAUGAGCUGGGGCACGGGGUGUGCUGAACCCAACUACUCUGGGGUUUACACCAAGGUGGCCGAAUUCCUGGACUGGAUUUAUCAGAUCAUCGAGCAAGAGCCUUCCAGAGGCAGGAAAUCAGAAACGCAAGCCGGCUCCCUCUGCUUUGGACGGCGCAGAGCUGAGAGGCACAGAGGCAGGGCAAUCAGCAGCACAACAUGCACCUAAAUACAGAGGGAUGGAAAAAUACUCCAAAAGGCCUAGAGGGCCCUGCUCCCUGUGGGAAAGGUGAGCGGACGGCAAAGGGCCCCUUGCAGCUGAAUUCUCCCCCACCGAGGUAAAGAGUUUAAUCCGAGCCUUGUUCCAGAACACAGAGAGGAGAGCAGCGGCCCUUGCGGAAAUUAAAUAGCCUUGUGUUUACUCCUGUGCAAUAGACCUUUUCCUGGGAAAGCAACAGUAAAUCAGGUUUCAAACUCUUAUUUGGAUUUAACCCUUUUUCCUAAUCAGUUUAGCUUUAUGAAAGCACUUCCUAAAGGCCUGGCCAAUGGGGAAAAACUUCACCCAGCUCAGCAUCUAUACAAUAAAUGUAGCAAUUUAAUGCAGCUUGGCCUCCAAAAGCAAAGGAGAGUAACUCCUUGGCACUAGCCGGUGCUACUUCGUCCACUACCCAGAGAAGUGCCGUGGUGUAAAACUCUGGCUCCUGACAUGUAGUCUACCAGCCCGCACCCAUUUCGGGCGAUACGGGGUAACUUAUCAGCUAGAAAAAUUUCAUUGCUACCGUGCUAAGCACAUUUGUGGAGGUCAUCACUGUGGUGGCGGCAGAUUCUGGAAGCGGCGCAGUUUUUCUAGGUCAUACAAUGUUUAAAUGGGACCGGGCACCAAAUUUGAAAACAUCUGAAAAUCACAAGAAGGGCCGUAACUCAGAGGCAUAGUUUAAUUUUGACCAAAACCGUCAGUCUUCUAAACACAAAUCAUAUUGUUUUGGAAGGUUUGGGAAACAUUUAGCCCCGGGUGAUCAGCUUUAUGCAAGUUCCUGUACUCUCUUACCUUUGGUUAAAGCAAGUCUGUAGUCACACGACAGUCAGAGCUUGUUUGUACCAUAUAAUACAUCAAAAUAUUUGUCAUUAUCUGUAGAAUAGACUGAUCUGAGAAGUUUUUUCUGUCUGCUAUUUUUAUUAAGUUAUACAGAUGACAAGAUCCCCACCCUCUAAUUAUAAAACAUAUAUUUACGAUAUUGUCUGCUCGGCCAGAGACAUAAGCCUAAAGCACACAUGGUACAAAUAUAGUUUCAGUAAUAAUACAUGUGAACUCCUUAUAGAACAGUAAUGAUUCUUAGUAGAAUGGCUGUAGAGCAUGUUGUAUGAAUGUGUCGUGUGAAUACCAAAGGAUAGCCACGUGCUGUCAAUGUAACCCCUACGUCUAACGAUGGGCUAUUGAAUGCCUAACGCAGCACCCCUUUGAGCUAGAUUUACUCACAAACAUCGUCUCCGUAAUUUGCAGAUAGUUGAAACUUUUCUGCUCCCACCCAGAGUCUCCGCCCUGUUCGAUAGUCUGCUGCUUACACUCGUACCUGUCACAGCUGCACGCAUGGGAGCCCAACAAAUCUUCCCUGCGGCGGACGGAUCUCGUUGAACGGGGUCUCUCACAGCCACACUGCACAAAGGGAAGGUGGCUUUUGGAGCCGGCGGCAGCACCACCAUGUUUGGCCUUCACCCCAUCAACUGGCGACGAGCUCCACGGGCCGACCGUGCGUUGUGGGAAGCCGUGCGGCCUUUGGUUUGGUUUCACGUUUGGUAUUCGUGUCCUCGGGUCACCCGCCUCGUGUGCUACGUGCAGGGGUAACUAAACGCGUCCUUAGUCACUUCACACCUUUUAUAGAGCUCUGGCACCUCCCCGCUUCGGCAUGGCUCGUCCACGCUGAAAUGAGACCAGGGCCCCGUCCCGCACUCAAAGGGGAGGACCCUAACACCACUAGGCUGAAAGUUACAUGACAGGCCUCAGCCGCCUUCCCCCUCUCUCCUCAGCUGUUUUGUGGGGCAUUCGCAGGUACCGAACAAGCUCAAAAGAAACGGUUUAGUCACCUGCGGGGUUCCUGGCCGUGGCUGGCAAGAAUCCUUUGGUACCGGGGAGGGGAAGACGCUGGUUCAAUUUCCUUCUCCCUGCCCGAUGAGGCGGGAUUGCAGUAGGGCUCUGCAUUGGCGCAAGUGUGAGCCCCAGGAAGGGAUUAUAGGAGCUGGGUUGCUCUUUGUGGCAGCCUGAGGCUGGGCCACUUCCAUUAAAGAGCAGUUGGGAAAGAGCU